UACGUAGGGGGCAAGCGUUGUCCGGAUUUAUUGGGCGUAAAGAGCGUGUAGGCGGCUAGAUAGGUCCGUUGUGAAAACUCGAGGCUCAACCUCGAGACGCCGGUUGAAACCAUCUGGCUAGAGUCCGGAAGAGGAGAGUGGAAUUCCUGGUGUAGCGGUGAAAUGCGCAGAUAUCAGGAAGAACACCCGUGGCUAAGGCGGCUCUCUAGUACGGUACUGACGCUGAGACGCGGAAGCGUGGGGAGCGAACAGG
rnacentral:rRNA from 1 species